rnacentral:rRNA from 1 species
GACGAACGCUGGCGGCGUGCUUAACACAUGCAAGUCGAACGGUGAACUCCGCUUGCGGGGGGAUCAGUGGCGAACGGGUGAGUAACACGUGGGCAACCUGCCCUCAGCUCUGGGAUAACUCCAAGAAAUUGGGGCUAAUACCGGAUAUGACCGCUGACCGCAUGGUCUGGUGGUGGAAAGAUUUAUCGGCUGGGGAUGGGCCCGCGGCCUAUCAGCUUGUUGGUGGGGUAGUGGCCUACCAAGGCGACGACGGGUAGCCGGCCUGAGAGGGUGACCGGCCACACUGGGACUGAGACACGGCCCAGACUCCUACGGGAGGCAGCAGUGGGGAAUAUUGCGCAAUGGGCGGAAGCCUGACGCAGCGACGCCGCGUGGGGGAUGACGGCCUUCGGGUUGUAAACCUCUUUCAGCAGGGACGAAGCGAAAGUGACGGUACCUGCAGAAGAAGCACCGGCCAACUACGUG